UGUUGAUGCUGUUCGUUGUUGGAUAGGACAGAGAUAAAUGGAAAGAAGAGAAGACAGAGAGGUGGAGAGAAAGACAGACACCUGCAGACCUGCUUCACCGCCUGUGAAGCGACUCCCCUGUAGGAGAUCAUCUCACAUGAGAGCCAGAAGCCAGAGCAUCCCUCCAGUACACAUGCUUUCCCCCCCCCCUGAAUCUGGAGCCUCAGAUCCUCCUCCAGGUACUGAAAGAGACCACAAUACCAAAGCUUCCUUCAGUGUGGUGGAUGCCUGUAGAGAAACAGGAAAUGUCCGGAGCGCUCCUCAACUGUGGCUUCUGGUGGUGAUUGAACCUGGGACUUUGGAUACUCGGGUGGUCCAGGAGGUGGCGCAGUGAAGACAGCAUUGAACUCUCAAGCAUGAAGUCUUGAGUUCGAUCUCUGACAGCACAUGUACAAGAGUGAUGUCUGGUUCUUUCUCUCCUCCUAUCUUUCCCAUCAAUCAAUCAAUAAAAUAUUUUUAAAGAAUUUAAAA